UACGUAGGGGGCUAGCGUUGUCCGGAAUCUUGGGCGUAAAGCGCGUGUAGGCGGUCCGGUAAGUCCGCUGUGAAAGUCGGGGGCUCAACCCUCGAAUGCCGGUGGAUACUGUCGGGCUAGAGUGCGGAAGAGGCGAGUGGAAUUCCUGGUGUAGCGGUGAAAUGCGCAGAUAUCAGGAGGAACACCAAUGGCGAAGGCAGCUCGCUGGGACGGUACUGACGCUGGAGACGCGAAAGCGUGGGGAGCAAACAGG
rnacentral:rRNA from 1 species